GACUGGCAGGAGAUAAUCUUGGACUACUUGGUGAGUAGGCCAGCGACGGACUGUAUUUGGCAGACUGAGGAUUGUAGCUUGGGGAUGUAGGACUAUAGGUUGGUGAAGUUGGGCUAUAACUUGGUGAAGUUGGACUAUAACCAGGAGAAGUGGGGCUAUAGGCUGGUGAAGUGGGGCUGUACGAUGGAGAAGUAGGGCUGUAUGACGGUGAGGUAGGGCUGUACGAAGGUGAUGUUGGGCUGUAGGAAGGAGAGGUUGGGCUGUACGAUGGUGAGGUGGGGCUGUAUGCAGGUGAGGUGGGGCUAUAUGCAGGUGAGGUGGGGCUAUAUGCCGGUGAGGUGGGGCUAUAGCUUGGUGAAGUUGGACUGUAACUGGGAGAAGUGGGGCUGUAACUUGGAGAGGUCGGGCUGUAGCUUGGGGAUGUUGGGCUGUAACUUGGGGAG
rnacentral:lncRNA from 1 species